CAGGGGCCGAGCUGACUACAGCCAAGGAGGUGAGCACCAGGCACGAGCAGGGAGGAAUUUCACCAAGCUUAGUCACCCACACCUGUCCAGGCCCAGGAAGACUCAGGCUGGGAGAAGUGGGUGACCAAAGCCAGCGCCCGAGCGUGUCCUUGUAGUCGCUGGCACUGCCCCGGCUCCGGCUGUCCCCGCCACGGACGCUGCAGACUCCAGAGAUGCAGCUGCCGCUGUUGGCCACGUAGCCGCCGCUGACCGAGCUGGGCCGGAAGCCAUAGCCACCGCUGCCGCUGGUGCUGCUGAUGAUGGCUGCAGAGGGAGAGCAGAUUGGAGACCCCUCUGGAGCUGGCAAGUCCCUCCUUAGCUCUAACUCAACUCCCUGCGUUUAGAUGGUGGUGGUGAUGAAGAAUAGCGCAUCCUGCCCUCCUGGGAUGAUGGCCAACCCAGCACCACUUCAGUUCAUCGCAAAGACAUUUACUUGGGCACCCUGUGCCGGGGAUACAAAAUGAAGGACAGCAGCUCUCUCUGCUGAAGUGUUGGGGUAGAGUGACCCUCUCCCCAGCAUGGGACAUGAGCAGCCCAGGCCAGAGCCAAGUGUGGACACAGGAGGCCAAGUCCAUCUCAAGAAAUGGGACCCCCACCCUUCACCUCUCAAACUCCUGUGAUAAGAGAGGCUACAGGCUGUGCAAGGGACAGUUGACGUCCAGCCCUUCCAGCACUGGACGGAAGGAAGAGAACGGAGGAUGGAGUUGGGGCAGGUGGUUGUGAAAUUCAGGGAAUCAACUGGAAGGAGGUAUGGAGAUGACAGAGAGAGCCCCCCCCCCCCGGGCCUGGAGUUCUCAAGGAGAGACUCCUGGGCGGUCCGUUUCCUCAUUUCUGUCUUCUCUACAAUGUGUACCUGCUAAUGAGACCAGGAGCAGCUUGAGGACAGGAGCCCUCUGUUUAGAGCUCAAAUAAAGGAGCUGCUGUUGAGGUGAGACGGAACUCCUCCCACGCCCCUCCAGACGCCUGCGAGCCAAGGAGACAGGCCGGCCGGGGCCCUCCCAGGGGUGCUGGCCUCCGCAGGGGGUGGGCCAGUGAGCACGGGGCCGUCCUGCUCCAAACAGCCCCUCGAUCCUGCCCCAGAAUCUGCCUGCCGUCCGCUCCAUCCUGGGUCCCUGGCUUCUGCGAGGCGCUCCAGGCCUCCCCCAUGAUUGCUGCUGCUGUGGCUCCUGUUCCACUCGUGGCCAGUUCUCUCCCUGGAGACUGCCCUUGCCCAGAGGUUCCCGCUGGGCUCCAUGGGGGGCUGGGACUCUUGGCUGCGUGUGGGCGCAGGAGGGAGGAGGACCCGGAGCCAGGCUGGUAUGGGGCUUUCUCUCAUUUUGUUAGGGGUUGACCUGGAAUCCAUUCCCUCCCCCUCCCCUGCCCUCCUCCCCACCUGCCCCCUGCCAUUCUGUCUCCAGGGUUCACCAGAAUGUCUGUUUCCCUCCCUUCUCUCUUUCCCCACUUCUCUCUCCACCCCUCCUCUCCAGCUCCCAUCCAUCUUUCCCUCUCUCCCUUCACUACCUCCUGCUCUACUCUCUCGCCAUCCUGCCCUCUUCCCAGACGUCUUCCUGGGUCAGCACAGCCUGGUUCGGAGCUCCCCUUGUCUCUCUCCCUUAGCAUAUUCUUGGCAUGUGCUGAAGUACCAUGACACCACGGGCAGCUCCCACGAGGUUCCUCGGAAGGCUGUGUCACUUGCCACCUCAGUUUUCCUUUGUAAGGAGAGUAGAAGGUCCUCCAGAUCAGAGGCCACCUAGCAUACUCCUCCCUCCCUCACUCUCUCCCUUCGGCAGAUCUCUACUGAGUGCUCACUGUGUGCCAGGCCUUGUGCCCAGCACUGGGACACAGGAGCUCAUGAUGCAACGCCAAAGGCCCUUCACGCCCCUAGAACCCAGUCCUCACACGGUGGUCCCCUCGAUGGCUUUGCUGGCUGUAUGUUUCUCUCACGUGCUUGGCUGCCCCCCCAGCCCAGAAGUCAACGUCCCUGCAACUGCGGCCCUGCCCCUGCCUCUUCCCGCGACUGCCCUCCUCGCUGCUCCUUGCUCCGGCCAAGGCCAUCUCACGUGCAGGCCUCCUCUUCCAAUACCUCCAACAUUUUGCUGAACUAUUCCUCCCCAGCCUGGAACACCCUCUCUCCGCAUCUCUUCUGAUCCAAAUCCUUCUACUCUUUCAAAUUCCUGCAUCAAACCCCGGAUUUAGUGCCAUCUCCUCCACUGUGCCCUGGAUGCCUCUGUCCGCUGACACCUGUGUGUAGGCUCCUGCCUUCCCUCGGGCUGGGGCCUGGAUGAGGGUUCCAUGUCCCGCGGCCGACUCUUCCCUCUGUACCUUCCCUCAGGACCCGGGCCCAGCUCCUGGACAUCCCUUCCCAGGUGACCGAGGACUGAUGGUUGUUGGAGCAGCAGCCACUCAGGGACAGUGCAUCUUCGGGGAGCUCCCGGGCCUGCAACCCCUAGAAUGGCACCAGGUGGGAGCCUGGCCUCCAGGGGUCGGAAUCUCACUCCAGCACCGGGUAGUGCUCCCCCUCUCUAAGCCUCAGCUUCCCCAGCUGUAAGUGGGAUCAUAAACUCAUGGGGUAGUCGUGACAAUUACACAUGUCAAGCGCUCAGUAAACGCCUGGUACACAGUCGAUGUUCAAUAAAUGCUGUCAAUUACCAAAAGUAGAAAGUAAAGUGGAAUUCAAAAAUC